GGAGAAUAUUACUGUGAAGUCCAAAACAGAAGAGGACAUCAUCGCUCCACCUUGCAGUUGAAUGUUGUGGCGGCUGCAUGGAAAUCAGUUGCUGCUGUAGUAACUUCUACCAUUUUGCCGGCUAUCAUACUGACCUGUCUCCUACUGUGGAUUAGGAGAAAGAGGGCCACCAAACAGCCGUCUGCACCAGGAGUGGGACCAGACAACACGCUGCAG